CGGCGGACGGGUGAGUAACACGUGGAUAACCCACCUAUAAGACUGGGAUAACUUCGGGAAACCGGAGCUAAUACCGGAUAAUAUAUUGAACCGCAUGGUUCAAUAGUGAAAGACGGUUUUGCUGUCACUUAUAGAUGGAUCCGCGCCGCAUUAGCUAGUUGGUAAGGUAACGGCUUACCAAGGCAACGAUGCGUAGCCGACCUGAGAGGGUGAUCGGCCACACUGGAACUGAGACACGGUCCAG
rnacentral:rRNA from 1 species